GAUGAACGCUAGCUACAGGCUUAACACAUGCAAGUCGAGGGGAAACGGCAUUGAGUGCUUGCACUCUUUGGACGUCGACCGGCGCACGGGUGAGUAACGCGUAUCCAACCUUCCCAUUACUGUGGGAUAACCUGCCGAAAGGCAGACUAAUACCGCAUAGUCUUCGAUGACGGCAUCAGAUUUGAAGUAAAGAUUUAUCGGUAAUGGAUGGGGAUGCGUCUGAUUAGCUUGUUGGCGGGGUAACGGCCCACCAAGGCUACGAUCAGUAGGGGUUCUGAGAGGAAGGUCCCCCACAUUGGAACUGAGACACGGUCCAAACUCCUACGGGAGGCAGCAGUGAGGAAUAUUGGUCAAUGGACGGAAGUCUGAACCAGCCAAGUAGCGUGCAGGAUGACGGCCCUAUGGGCUGUAAACUGCUUUUGUAUGGGGAUAAAGUUAGGGACGUGUCCCUAUUUGCAGGUACCAGACGAAUAAGGACCGGCUAAUUCCGUG
rnacentral:rRNA from 1 species